CAAAUGAGUCAGUGAAGGGAACAUGGAUGAUGAUGCACUACAUAGGAAUCCAAAGGGAGUGCAAUGGUGGUGCACGACAAUGAUGGAAAGGUGAAUGGUGGAGUGACACCCUUUUGUGGCUAAGCUCUUUGUCCUUUUUACAUUAAUUCUUCUUUCUCUUUAACACAUUCCUAGCCUCUUUAGUCUUCAAUUUCAUCCAUCCACCUUGCUUCAUGCAUGUGCUAUCCAUUCCAAGCGCAAAACUGCUCCAAAAUGCAUCUUAUUGCUUUAUAAGGCCUAUAGACCUACAAACACACGAAAAUAGCUUAAAAUACAUAAUUAACUAAGAACUAACAACAUGGAUGCAUGAGAACAAGCUAGCUCAGUCGCAUAAAUAUGCUCCUAUCAAAUUCCUCCACACUUAGCUUUUGCUAGUUCUCGAGCAAAACAAAACAAACGAAACAAACAAAACACAACCUAGACCUUCCAACAUUUGCCUCAGGG
rnacentral:lncRNA from 1 species